GAUCUCAACACCGAAUGACAGAUGCUGCCAAAUAGUUUUCUAAAUCAGUCCCAAAUGUGGCCAGGCCUCCAUGUUGGGCCAGUAAAACCUUGUUAAACCUUGUAGCAAGAGCUGUCAGCCAACAGAUCACAAGCACUUGAAGGCAAUAGAUGCUCCCAUUGACUCAUAUGAGUCCAGAAGAUUAUGUUUUCCUUAGCAGCAUGGUGAGUGAAUCCACAACAACUACUUCAUGUCAGUUCAGUGUGCCUUGAAGAGUGUUGAGGCUACACAGUGACCCAUCUGCAAGCUUUCCUGGGCUACUUAUUGGCAUCGUUGAAACACAAAGGUGUAAAACUAAUAUUUCGGGUAAAUCAACAAGAAUAUGGCAAAAGGUGGUAAAAUAGAUAUUUUCCCAUAAAUCAUUGAACCAUGACAUAGUCUAGAUAUUUUUCUCCCCUUACCACUGCAAAUAGUUGCCAUAUUCAGCAGAGAACCAAGGCCCCAAGUAGCACUGAGACUGCAUAUAUUCUGGUACUCAGUAAUUUUAAUCACUGAUAGAGACUUUGUACUCUAUGUUACCUCCUGAUGCCUUAUGUAUAGUCUUUUUUGUUCAUUUCAUUAGAAAAAUUAAUGAUGGAAAGGAGUUUGGUUAUUCUGCCGAAUGCUGUUUGCUCAUGCCUUCCACGUACUGUUUUCUUCUGUUUACCUGAAAAAGAAAACAGCAAGCACUGCAGAAUUUGGUGUGCAUGGCCUGGCACUGUGCCAGUGAAAACCCCACCCAUCCAGCAAAUUAGAUUUUUUUUACAGUAUUUUCUUGGAGCGUGAGUAUGAGGAUUUGUAGAAAACAUUGUGAGAAGAGCUCAAAGGGAUUGAAAAGGCUUGUUUGGGUUUUAUUUGGUUUGCACAAUGUAAUUUUUGCUUGCAGCGACAUUAUUUAAUGAUGAUCAUGGCAGAAAUAAUUCCUAGUGUCAAAUAGAUACUUGCUAUUGAAGUCCUGUUUAAUCUUGCACUUAUUUUCAAACCUUUUUUAAAAAAAGCAUCAGAGGAGCACUGAGUACUCAAGAGAACAACUGGAAAGGCAAAGCCCUGGGCAUCACAUUCAGCUCUACUUCACUUUCAUGUGUGAGUUGGCUAACGUGACUAAGGGACAUGAGGAGCACGUGCUAUUCUCUACCUAUGAGUACUCAAGAUACACAGUUGCAUAUUUUGCCAUGCAGAAAGGAUAUCUGAUAGCUAAUCAGGUCACAGCUGUCCAAAUGGAAAAGAACAAUUCAGUAACACAGCAAGCCCAGGGUUCUCCAUCUUCAGCCUCACUGACAUCUGCAGUGCCUGUCUCUGAUGUUAGAAAAGGGCCUUACCCACUGUCCAGCUUCAUUUCCUGCUAAAGUAUCCAGGUGCACUGCUGAGCUGCUGGUCUGUCUUGAAGGCUGCAGUUUCAGUGAGGCAAAUCCAUUAUCCAGAUACAUAUGCUCUCUGCAGAUGAUCCUGAAUCCAGCAAAAUCAAGGGGAGACCACACGUGAAGAUCAGGCACACCAGCUGCUCCACGCAGGCACGACUUUGUUGAGUGAGACCACAUAACCACAUUACUUCACACCAGGAGAAACAAUGUACUGAAGUUGAUUUUAAGUGAUCUCUUAAAAUUGACUCAAUCUCUCAGUUCACAGUAGUCCAAGUACUUGAAAUAUGUCAGUAGAUUCAUUGCUAAUAUUAUGUUAAUUUGUGCUCCCAGGUACGUUGAAGGAAUUUCUAGUAAUAUGACUAGGAGUAAUGAACAAGCAUAGAGAGAACUGAUUUUAAGAGAACUUACUUAUGCUCUAAAAAUAUGUUACCAUCAUCUCAAAGCUGUCUUUUUGCUUUCUUGUCACAGACACUUUCUAUUUUCCUUCAGUCAUUUCCCAAACUGCAUACAAGCAUUUUAAGUCCUUGUGCAACUUGGAGUUUUAACACACUUUUGCCUAAUUUCAAGAAUUAUGGGGAAUGUUUGCUGUACAUGUGAUUUUUGUUUGAGCUAUCCUGUCAAAGACACACAUGCUGGUCUUCAUCCCUUUUGUUACAAAAUACAAUCAAUGCAGUGUGUAUGUGUUUAUCUAUACAUCACACUCUCCAGUCUGCGUGACAUAUUUGUGGUCUGUUUUUCUAAAAUCAUAAUUGUGACUAUGUAAGCCUUCCAAUCCUGCACUUGGAAAGUCUCCCAGAUUUCUUCCUGAUUCCCAUUGAGAACUCCUGUGCACCAGCAGUAUUUUGAGAAUUAAAAAAUAUAUAUAUAGGUAAUUAUGUACUUAGCUAUCUUAUGUCACUAAAUCACAUGCUGAUAAGUAGCUGCCAAAUUUUAGCCCUGUAUUCUUGGUUUUCUCCAGCACUGGGAGCCUUGCAUGUGUCAGAGGGAUUAUUGGCACUUUCCCAGGGAGGUGCCAGCUGUGCUUGAACCAGCUGUGCUUCUCACUUCUGCCUCUGUAUCACUGCCUGUGUCUUUAGGCACAGUCAUUGAUGGUGAAUAUGUGCUUUAAUUUGAACUUCAGCAGUUUAAGUUCAAUUAUGGCUUUACUUACUUUUGACUUUUAGGACAAAAUUACUUCUUCAAAAGUUGCUGCUUGAUUAAACUGUCUGUGUUCAAUCAUUACCAAUGCUUUUGUCUUACAAUUUAUUUUCUCAAUUGAUAAUUACAGAACAAAUGAUAUUUAAUCAUGGUGUGUUUAUACUAGAUAUAUACAUAGUAAUACAUUCUUAUAUCUGUGUCUCAUAUAGUUUUGUGCACAAUGUAAAUAGCACAUAUUUUCUAAACAACACUUAUGCUUCAACAGCCUAAAUCUCCAUUCAUCCCACAAAUAAAUUUCUCCAAACCUUCAACCCAGAAAGCUAAACACUUGGUUGAAGUGGUGAACCCCUAACUUAAUGACGUGGUCUGUGCUGACGUCACUGGGUAUGACAGUAAAUCCACAGCAUAAAACACAGCCAACAUAAUGUCACCACAUCAAGUCUUAAGAUAAACUAAACCCUUUUCCAUUAAAAAAAAAAGUUUGUUUUCAUAGUUGGAGAAUUUUGCAGAAAUUUGAUUGUAUAAACAAAAUUGCCAAUUGAGAAUAACCUACACUGUUCAUUUUAUUUCUUUUUAAUAUGACAUAUUUCAAUAAAAGAUAUAUUCCAUCAUUAUAAUUACUGUUAUUUGACUUUUAAUCCGUACUACUGAUUAUACCUUUUUAACACUGUAAUAUACAAUGACGAAGGACAUUCCCUGGGUUAAAGUGACAACAUUUUCUAGCUUCCUGUCUAAUGUUGACAACAAAGUUCCAGUUUACUUUUCUCCCUUUCAAUAUUUUAUAUUUUAUUUUUUAUUUCAGAAUAACCAAUGAAUUGUAAAUUCUGAUUUCUGUUCAAGACAAAAUCUGAAGAAUUUAUAAUUUAUAUUUAUUUAUGUACUUUCUCUGUGCCUCAGUUUCUCGUGUUGCAUAAAGGAAAAAAGAUGGACCUUCCAUUGUAAAGUACCUUGAGAUUUACUUAUGAAAAUAAGUUUAUGUAAUAUUUAUUUGGUCUUGCUUAUCAUGCUCUUAUUCUUUUUCACCAAGUCCUCUAAGGAACAUAUUCUCAGAAGCAUGAUGCUACUCAAAAACACACUGGAGGAGCAUGGAGCCGUGGGGCUGGUGCAAGCACUUUCAGCUCAUCCUCAGCUUUGUCCUUUCUGUCUUAAGCUGGUGUCCAACUGCACCCACCCAUGGCAAGUGAUGGCAGAAGUCUACAAUCCUGUGUGUCUGAUUUCCCCUUAGGAGAAGGAGCAGGGAAGAGAAAGUCUUGAAUAUAAUGAUCUCUUGCAUUUUAAUGUUUCACUAACUUGCCAUGUUAUGUUUAAAAACCAGACCACAACCCUGCAGUGGCCACGUCUUCGUUACUACACCCAAGGCAAUGGAGUCAUCACUGGGAUCUCAGUUGAGUCCUGUCCUGUCAUGGAACAGCUGUCUUGAAUUAAAAGCAGUGACUCAGAUCAGGAAAUUGGUAAGGAAAAUAUUUCUGUAUAGGUCUAGUUUUGAAAUGCUAAUACUUUUGUAUGAAUUGAGUUUAAUACAUUUUUAAGCUAAAAAUGCCAUACUAAUAUAGUGGAAUUUACUUGAAUAUAUUUAUUAGCAUCCAGGUGGAGUAAUGUAAUUCUCUAGGAGAUAAUCUGUGGUAUGAGCCUGACAAUGCAGAGCAUUUGUUGCUUAUCCUCUUCCACAUUCUGCCAUUACAUAUCUGCAGCAAUUCGCCUUGCAAAAUGUUCACAUUACUGUCUUAAGUAACAUGUGCUCUUAUUUAGAGUAGAGUGUGACAAAGACCUGAUGGGAGGAAAGGCAGGAAGGUUUCCAACUGCAUGUAUCCUGAUUGCACUCACCUGACUUCACUCCUCCAGACAGGGUUGUAUGUACCCCCAUCGACUGGAGCAAGAGUCAGGGCAUCAGCUGGCUUUGUUCUUUCCCAAAUAAGUCCACGCAGAAAAGUUUGGGAUCAUGGAACAUAUUUUGAAAGAAAAUGGCUCUUGGCUGUGCACAACUAGAAGUAGCUGCUAGUAGCGAAAGUGUGGGCACUGUGCAGAGAAAAUGUCCUCAUUUACUUGAGCAAAACCACAUAGGUGCAACUAAUGUUACCUUUUGAACUCUCUGGAAUUCAUAGCAGAAACUAACUGUGCAGUGUACCAGUCUGAUUGUGCAUACACAAUGGGAAAUACUUUUCUGCUUGCUUAAAUGUUCUCUGUAGAUAAAUUGGAUGCCAUUUAGUAAGUUCACACACAAAGCACAGGAUAUUUUGGCUAUCCUCUUGCUCCAUAAGAUAGCUCUGUACAGCAAUGAGCAGAAGACACAACCCUAGUCCAAGGGUAUCUCACAAGUAACAUCCAGAACCUUGGGAGGACAGGAUGUGUGAGGCAUUUAGAAGUCUUAUAAAGUUUCUGUUAGGGCUGGAAAAAUUGCAAAAUUGCUGUUCAAGUCCUAUUUAAAUUCUACUUCCCACUGUUUUCCAUUAUGUUUGAAAACCUAGUAACAGUUAGUUCAACAGCCUGUCAAAGAAGAAAAAAAAAAAAGAAAAAAAGAUUACUUUUCAGUAAGUGGGAGGGCUGAUAAAAUUACAGCAGCUGGGUGUCUAUUCCUGCAAGCUUCAUUGUGCAGAGCUACAAUGGAUCUUCCUACAGAAAGCUAAUCAAGGUAGAAGAGAAAAAUUGGGUUCAUUAGCAAUCUCCAUCACUGAAAAGUCAAAUAAUUUUUCACUCUUCAGUUGAGUCCAAUUACAAAGACAUUACUAGAAGUUCUUUCUCGGUGACAGUAUUUUGGUGGUGGCUUUUUUUUUUUUUUUUUUUUUUUUUUGGCACUUUGCUUAUUGUGCACUCACAUUGCUCCCAUCAGUGAGUGUAGA
ensembl:lncRNA